GUGAUGACGUCACAGUUCCUUCGAUACGCAUAACAACGAUCCCACUGGGGACAAACAAAAGUAGCGUCGUCUCCACCGAACCAGUUGUCAGUGGCAACAUAUAGGAAUCGUGUACAUUUCUUCGUUUCUUCUUUGCUGUUUUCAGUGAGUGUUUUGUUUUCUCUUUGUCCUUGAUCUCGACGAUGUUGUCGUGCUCAUUACCUUACUGAGACGUCUCUUGUGACUGUAGCCAGUGUCACGGAGGAUUUUAUUGGCGUGACAAGGUAGAUCGCCGAGAUCGAGCGUGAAAAACGCUCUGCAUUAGUACCUCCUGUAGAAUGUUUUCUGGGAUGGCGUAUCCAUGGUCAACAAAACCAAGGUGCAAGACAGCAUGAGAGAUCGUGUAAACGAUGUGAACUCCAAAAGAUAAUCUGGCCAAAUUUAUUGUAACUAGAGAGUGCAAUCGUGCUUGGGGCCCAUCCCAAUGUCAUCACAUGGCUGUGGUGACUAGUGUAUAUCUGGGAGAAUUUUUCCUCGACUGAUACGGAGUGCAGGUGGAUCGAUUAUGAGAAAUGCGAACAUGUGAAGUUCAAGGCUAGAUGCACUUCAAAUUCGGCGUGCAAUCUCAGCGUCUAGGACCU